GGCAAUUGUUCCAAACCGGAGGUGGUCUAGGUGGUGGUAAUGGAGGUGGCAUUGCUACCAAGGUCGUAUGCCUGACAGAGGUGGUUACUGCAGAUGAGCUUAAAGAUGAUGAAGAGUAUGAAGAUAUUUUGGAAGAUAUGAGGGUAGAAGGUGGAAAAUUUGGUACAUUGAUGAAUAUUGUCAUCCCCCGUCCACAACCUAACGGUGAACCCUCUCUAGGACUUGGAAAGGCUUUCGUUGAGAACUACGACACUUCAUGUCUAAGCCAGUGCCUCUACGGUAUCAUCUACCAGUAUGUUUCUCAUAAUCGGUGUUAGGUUUACCAAGAAGAGAGUGUGUAGCAAAAACGGAUCAUUUCCAUUUAGCAAUGUAACCCAGACUACCAUACUGGAACGUGUAUGCUACUGUCAUAUUUGUAGGGAAGGCCAAUAUCUGUGUUUUACGAUU